UACGGAGGAUGCAAGCGUUAUCCGGAAUGAUUGGGCGUAAAGCGUCCGCAGGUGGCUGUGUAAGUCUGCUGUCAAAGAGCAAAGCUCAACUUUGUAAAGGCAGUGGAAACUACACGGCUAGAGUGCGUUCGGGGCAGAGGGAAUUCCUGGUGUAGCGGUGAAAUGCGUAGAGAUCAGGAAGAACACCGGUGGCGAAGGCGCUCUGCUAGGCCGCAACUGACACUGAGGGACGAAAGCUAGGGGAGCAAACGGG
rnacentral:rRNA from 1 species